AUAAAUAAUCUUAAAAAAAAAAAAGGAGGAUGGGGGGAGUUGUCCUUUUUUCCUUUUGGGCAUACGGGUACUAAGGUUCUCCCAGUUGAGUCUCUAUCACAGGUGCUGAGAAAGCAGUCCCCUGAACUGUCAGAGACCCAUCCAGCUGGUGGUAAGGGCAAGGGGGCAGAGGCCGGCAAAGAGGUUCAGCUCUUCUAGAAACCAAUACGCAAUGUCCCUAAUGCAUGUGCCAGCAUUUCUUCGGGACAAAUUCCUUGAACAGAAACUGUUGAAUCAAAAUUCUUGAUUUGCUGAAUCCAUUAAGUUGUUCUCUGACAAUGCUUAAAGCUUACUCUCCCGAACAACCACACCAAUACUAGCAGUUAGUUUUUAAAGUACCACCCAGUCUGCUGGGAGAUGAGCAUCUUGUUUUAAUGACUCCUCCUCAUUCUCAGUUACUAGAAAAUUUUGUCCCUAGGUAUUUAUAACUUUUGCUGCUAUUGUGAAUAGGAUAUUUUCCCAUUAUGUUUUAUAACUGAUUAUUGCCUUUAAGGAGAUCAGUUUGUCUCAGGGCGCCUGGGAGUUUACCAAUUUCAGCACUGAGAGGGUAGUGUCCUGAGAAAAACCCCAAUUCCAGGCAGAUCAGGACAGCUGGUCACCCCACAGUAAUAACAUCUGAGUCUUUAUCUUGUGUCUGGCUGCCUCACUGAGGUCUUAAAAAGUGCCAAUAACUAUUCAUUGGAUAGCCUAUCUGGAAAAUCCAAGAGAAUCAUUCCACCUUCAAAUAAUAAUUUUGUCUUUUCCUUUAAAUGAUCUGUAUCUCUUUUCUUUCUCUGGUCUUUGUGCACUGGCUAGAAACUUCAAAACAUGGAAUACAAUAGAAAAAUAGAAGAAGACACAAUAGACAUCUUUUUCUCAUUUGUGACUUUGCUGGGAAUACUUCUAAUGCUUCACUGUCUCACCCAUAAAUUAGUUUGAUGCUUAAAAAAAAAAAA